rnacentral:lncRNA from 1 species
GGCCGCGGGAACGGAUGCCUACCACCCGGCGCGGUCCUCAAAAGAAGACGGUGCAGCCGACGGGGACUGCCACCGAGUCCCGGGGUGAGCCGCCGGUGCGGGUGACGAGGACCGCUGCUGGGACACAACGGGCGUUGGAGAAAAAAUGCCGGCAGCCUGACUCCCCCGUCGAGGAAGAGGAAGAAGAGGUGGUGAUCGGAGUCCGCCAACAAAAGAAGGCUCGACAAGCUGCGUCGAAGGGUGCAGUGGCGGAGGGGGAGGCAGCAGCCGUCAGUGAUCUGGACUCCUUUGCCGAGUAUGCGCCAUUCAUGACAGAAGGGGAGCGGGCAUUCCUUUUCCAUCUGUGCGAGCGGCUGGGGUUCGGGGGUCUGGCGGGCAUAUCGCGCCCGACGGCAAUUGACCAAUCGCCCUUCAGCUCGGCGUUUGGUCAAAUAUCUGCGGGGUUACAUGAUAUGUUCGAGGCGGCGUCUAAGCAGCCCCGGAUUGAGGAAGAGCUCAGGGGGGAGAUCGGAGGUCUCCAGAGGGAGCUGGCGGAGGCCAAGGAGAGAUUGGCGGAGGCCGAGCAGGGGCUGGCCAAGGCGGAGUGUGACUAUGCGGACGCCCGCGGCAAGCUUAAUGCGGCCAUAAGGCGGGACCUGGAGAGGAAUGAACGCGUCUCCCAGUUGGAGCAGGAGAUCGCAUUGCUGCAGGAGCGGAUAGCCGCUAAAGAUAAGAAGCUCAUUAUUGUGCAGCGGGAGUCUGCCGCCAGACUGGGUGAGAUGCAGCGGCUGGACGGGGAGGUCAACCGCCUGAAAAAUGAACAGAGUUCUUCUGCAGCCGCCGCCGUUGAAGCGUUCAAGAUGUCGGCGGAGUAUAAAAAGACAUUGACCGAAGCGGCGAAGUCUGGGGCCCGGGCAAAUAUAGACAUGUUGACGCGGAAGGGCGCCAUUGACUUUGUAAAGGCGUCACAGCCCGACGUGCCGGUGGUCGAUGGUGUCCCGCCGGAGACAGAAGUCGUGCCUCCCACUGCGGCAGGUACCCAUUCGGGCAGCGGGGAAAGUAGCUCCCAUCCGCCGGAAAGGUCCCGUCAGACUCCCCAGCAGACCCCGUCGGAGGUGUCACGUGCCGGAUUUCUGGAGGCACACACCCGGGCGGAUGGUACAAUGGAGACUCCCAGUCCGACAGCUCGAGGGUCCGAUCAGGCGAGCCGAUCGGUCGUGCCGCCGUCAGUUGAAGCCGGAGAAGCCGAAGACAACCGC